rnacentral:rRNA from 1 species
GACGAACGCUGGCGGCGUGCCUAACACAUGCAAGUCGAACGGAAAGGCCCCUUUCUUGGUACUCGAGUGGCGGCCGGGUGCGUAACACUAACGUAACGUUCCCCUGCCUUUGGGAUAACUUCAGGAAACUGGGGCUAAUACUGGUACGGAAUACUAGCUUCAUGGUCGGGGUUGGAAAGCUCCGGGGGGUUUUGCUGGACUCGAGGCUUAUCGGCUUGUUGGUGGGGUAGUGGAUUACCAACGCGUUGACGGGUGGCCGGCCUGAGGGGGCGACCGGCGACAUAGGGUCUGAGGGACGGCCCAGGCGGCUACGGGAGGCAACAGGGGGGAAUAUUGCACAAUGAGCGCGAGCCUGAUGCAGAAGCGCCGCGUGCGGGAUAACGGUCUUCGGGGUGAAAACCGUUUUCAGCAGGGGCGGAGCAUGUGGUGACGGUACCUGCAGAAGAAGCAACGGCUAACUACGUG